AACACAUAGAACACCAUAAAGAUGAAUUUCUACUGCAUUCUGCUGCUAGUAAUUUUAAACAUCUACUGCUUAAAAUGUUCCCCGUAUAACUCAAAUUACAUAAUCCCAAAACGAAGGUACUGCGGAAAGGCUUUGACUAACAUGGUUUUAAAACUAUGUCAUGGAAAAGUUUACGAUCCCAAUGUUGAAUAUAAUAACAAAAGAUCGGCAAGUUCUUCCAAUCUGGACACCGAUUUUCCAAUUGAUAUUAGUUCAGACUACGACUCAAAUUUCAUAUAUUCACUUCUACAAAAAGAUUUUCAUUUUCCUACGCCCAACAAUCUUCACAAGAGGCAACUUUCGAAGAAAUGCUGUGAUGAACCAUGUUCAGAAGAUACGAUGUUAGAAUUUUGUGGAUUCACAAUAUAAGAAUUUUGUUUCCAUAUUUAAUGCUUUUUUGAUUAUUAUAAUAAAAAUUUCAUUAUCA